rnacentral:rRNA from 1 species
UACGGGGGGGGCAAGCGUUGUUCGGAAUUACUGGGCGUAAAGGGUGCGUAGGCGGCUUUCUAAGUUGGAUGUGAAAACUAUGGGCUCAACCCAUAGCCUGCAUCCAAAACUGGAGAGCUUGGGUUCUGGAGGGGAAAGCGGAAUUCCUGGUGUAGCGGUGAAAUGCGUAGAUAUCAGGAGGAACACCGGUGGCGAAGGCGGCUUUCUGGACAGAUACC